rnacentral:rRNA from 1 species
UGCGUAGACGGAGAAACAAGUCAGAUGUGAAAUUCCAGGGCUUAACCUUGGGGCUGCAUUUGAUACGUGUAGACUAGAGUGUGAGAGAGGGUUGUGGAAUUCCCAGUGUAGAGGUGAAAUUCGUAGAUAUUGGGAAGAACACCGGUGGCGAAGGCGGCAACCUGGCUCAUUACUGACGCUGAGGCGCGAAAGCGUGGGGAGCAAACAGGAUUAGAUACCCCAGUA